UGGGGAAUUUUGCACAAUGGGGGAAACCCUGAUGCAGCGACGCCGCGUGAUUUAGAAGGCCUUCGGGUUGUAAAAAUCUUUUCUAUGGGAAGAAAAUGACAGUACCAUAGGAAUAAGGACCGGCUAAUUACGUGCCAGCAGCCGCGGUAAUACGUAAGGUCCGAGCGUUGUCCGGAAUCAUUGGGCGUAAAGGGUACGUAGGCGGGUAAGCAAGUUAGAAGUGAAAUCCUAUAGCUCAACUAUAGUAAGCUUUUAAAACUGCUCAUCUUGAGGUAUGGAAGGGAAAGUGAAAUUCCUAGUGUAGCGGUGAAAUGCGCAGAUAUUAGGAUGAAUACCGGUGGCGAAGGCGACUUUCUGGCCAUAACCUGACGCUGAGGUACGAAAGCGUGGGUAGCAAACAGG
rnacentral:rRNA from 1 species